rnacentral:rRNA from 1 species
UCUUUGGCCGCUCGGUCCGCCUAACCGCGUGCACUGAUGUGGCCGAUGACUUCCUUCUGGCUAACCUCAUGCCCUUUACUGGGUGUGUUGGGGAUCCAGGACUUUUACUUUGAAAAAAUUAGAGUGUUUAAAGCAGGCUCGCGCUUGAAUACAUUAGCAUGGAAUAAUGAAAUAGGACGU